GAAUUCGCCCUUAGAGUUUGAUCCUGGCUCAGGACGAACGCUGGCGGCGCGCCUAACACAUGCAAGUCGAACGAGAGAUGAGGAGCUUGCUCUUCAAAUCGAGUGGCGAACGGGUGAGUAACGCGUGAGGAACCUGCCUCAAAGAGGGGGGACAACAGUUGGAAACGACUGCUAAUACCGCAUAAGCCCACAGCUCGGCAUCGAGCAGAGGGAAAAGGAGCAAUCCGCUUUGAGAUGGCCUCGCGUCCGAUUAGCUAGUUGGUGAGGUAAUGGCCCACCAAGGCGACGAUCGGUAGCCGGACUGAGAGGUUGAACGGCCACAUUGGGACUGAGACACGGCCCAGACUCCUACGGGAGGCAGCAGUGGGGAAUAUUGCACAAUGGGGGAAACCCUGAUGCAGCGACGCCGCGUGGAGGAAGAAGGUCUUCGGAUUGUAAACUCCUGUUGUUGAGGAAGAUAAUGACGGUACUCAACAAGGAAGUGACGGCUAACUACGUGCCAGCAGCCGCGGUAAAACGUAGGUCACAAGCGUUGUCCGGAAUUACUGGGUGUAAAGGGAGCGCAGGCGGGAGAACAAGUUGGAAGUGAAAUCCAUGGGCUCAACCCAUGAACUGCUUUCAAAACUGUUUUUCUUGAGUAGUGCAGAGGUAGGCGGAAUUCCCGGUGUAGCGGUGGAAUGCGUAGAUAUCGGGAGGAACACCAGUGGCGAAGGCGGCCUACUGGGCACCAACUGACGCUGAGGCUCGAAAGUGUGGGUAGCAAACAGGAUUAGAUACCCUGGUAGUCCACACCGUAAACGAUGAUUACU
rnacentral:rRNA from 1 species